AGGACGAACGCUGGCGGCGUGCCUAACACAUGCAAGUCGAACGCGCUCCAUUCGGUAGCAAUACUGAUGAAGAGCGAGUGGCGAACGGGUGAGUAGCACGUGAGCAACCUGCCCCGAAGACCGGGACAACACCGGGAAACCGGUGCUAAUACCGGAUAUCCCUAUCGGACCGCAUGAUCUGAUAAGGAAAUGGAUUCCGCUUCGGGAGGGGCUCGCGGCCUAUCAGCUAGUUGGUGAGGUAACGGCCCACCAAGGCAUCGACGGGUAGCUGGUCUGAGAGGACGAUCAGCCACACUGGGACUGAGACACGGCCCAGACUCCUACGGGAGGCAGCAGUGGGGAAUCUUGCGCAAUGGGCGAAAGCCUGACGCAGCAACGCCGCGUGGAGGACGAAGGCUUUCUGAGUUGUAAACUCCUUUCAGCAGGGACGAUAGUGACGGUACCUGCAGAGAAGCACCGGCAACUACGUGCCAGCAGCCGCGGUAAC
rnacentral:rRNA from 1 species